UGUGGCAUUGUUCUGGGCUGC
rnacentral:siRNA from 1 species